CAUUUUCAUUGUAUUAGUAACGGCAACAAGUGACUUAUACAUAAUAUUUACUGUAUAAACACGGAAAAGAAGUUAAAGAAUUUAUUGUCCUUGUCGCAAAUUAUAAAUUAUUAAAAAAAGGAAAAAAAGAAGUUGAAAGAGAAGACACUUGAUUUUACCCGAUUUUCCCCCAUUCUCUCAGGAACUGUGUGAGUGUUUUAAUAAAAUGUCACACUAUUCGGCG
rnacentral:lncRNA from 1 species